GUGGGGAAUAUUGGGCAAUGGGCGAAAGCCUGACCCAGCAACGCCGCGUGAGUGAAGAAGGCCUUCGGGUUGUAAAGCUCUGUUAUAGGGGACGAAGGGAGUGACGGUACCCUAUAAGGAAGCCCCGGCUAACUACGUGCCAGCAGCCGCGGUAAUACGUAGGGGGCGAGCGUUGUCCGGAAUGACUGGGCGUAAAGGGCGUGUAGGCGGCCUGAUAAGUCUGGAGUGAAAGUCCUGCUUUUAAGGUGGGAAUUGCUUUGGAUACUGUCGGGCUUGAGUGCGGAAGAGGUAAGUGGAAUUCCCAGUGUAGCGGUGAAAUGCGUAGAGAUUGGGAGGAACACCAGUGGCGAAGGCGACUUACUGGGCCGUAACUGACGCUGAGGCGCGAAAGCGUGGGGAGCGAACAGGAUUAGAAACCCUAGUAGUCC
rnacentral:rRNA from 1 species